rnacentral:snRNA from 1 species
UUGCUUAGGUAGCACAUAGACUAAAAUUGGAAUGAUACAGAGAAGACUAGCAUGGCCCUUAUGCAAGGAUGACACGCAAAUAUAUAUAUACACAUAAUAUAUUA